UACAGAGGGUGCAAGCGUUGCUCGGAAUCACUGGGCGUAAAGCGCACGUAGGCGGCUUUUAAGUCAGGGGUGAAAUCCUGGAGCUCAACUCCAGAACUGCCUUUGAUACUGAGAAGCUUGAGUCCGGGAGAGGUGAGUGGAACUGCGAGUGUAGAGGUGAAAUUCGUAGAUAUUCGCAAGAACACCAGUGGCGAAGGCGGCUCACUGGCCCGGUACUGACGCUGAGGUGCGAAAGCGUGGGGAGCAAACAGG
rnacentral:rRNA from 1 species